AGGGAUAAACUGNUGCAAUUUUCAGUCCUUGAACGAGGAAUUCCUAGUAAAYGCAAGUCAUCAGCUUGCAUUGAUUACGUCCCUGCCCUUUGUACACACCGCCCGUCGCACCUACCGAUUGAAUGACUCGGUGAAAAAUUGGGACCGUAAGUCCGUUUGCUUUAUUGCGAGUGGAUUGAUGGGAACUUUUUUAAACCUCGCCAUUUAGAGGAAGGUGAAGUCGUAACAAGGUUUCCGUAGGUGAACCUGCGGAAGGAUCAUUA
rnacentral:rRNA from 1 species